rnacentral:rRNA from 1 species
CCCUUAGAUGUCCUGGGCUGCACGCGCGCUACACUGAUGUGUCCAGUAAGCACCUAACCUCUUCCGAAAGGAACGGGUAACCUUUGCAAAGCACAUCGUGAUGGGGAUAGAUUAUUGCAAUUAUUAGUCUUGAACGAGGAAUUCCCAGUAAGCGCAAGUCAUCAGCUUGCGUUGAUUACGUCCCUGCCCUUUGUACACACCGCCCGUCGCUACUACCGAUUGAAUGGUUUAGUGAGAUCCUUGGAUCGGCCCUGUCGCGGCUGGCAACGGCCGCGUCGGCGCGUCGAGAAGACGAUCAAACUUGAUCAUUUAGAGGAAGUAAAAGUCGUAACA